ACCUAGACCGUGGCCUAGGUUGGGUCUGCAUUUCAGCGUCUGUUUCUUCUACGAGGUUCUCCUCUUCUAACCGUCCUACAUUUCUGGUGCAGAGGAAAAUAAGGCUUUGGUUCUUUCCUCCGAACCAGAAAUCAAGCAUGGUCCCUUCGAUGCUGUUUCGUGCUUCUACUUGCCUUCUUUUUCUCGCCCUGUUCUUCGCUUUAGCAUACUCCAUUCCUGACCCUCAACAGNUUUUUUUUGUUGUCUCUGAAUCCACAACUCUGCAACUAUCUCGUGGCUUGCCUGUGCAAAAUUCUCCAGGUUCCAAACCUGGAACUGUGGUGGUUUGUGAAAGAGUAUACAUCCAAGGAUUAUUGAGGAUUAAAAAUCUGUGGAAGCUUGCCCACACGGUAAAAGUGAAGCUUUCCAUGAUAAAUUCAAGUGCUCGGAUACCGAAUGUAGAGGUUUGUUUUCACAGGAACAUGUCACUUGGUAUAGGGAUGUGUCCACAAAGUCAGUGGGAGAAAGUUGCCAAGGGUUCUUGGGCUCAAUCCAUGUCGCCGUUUGACCACAAGCUUAUAGAUAUCAGAACUUCUGGGUUAUCCUUGGAAAGUUUUGAGGUAUCUAUUGAAGAAGAAUUCUUUAUGUACCGCAUAAUUUUUUUAAUCCUGGGCUUGGUGUUGAUGAGUUCGGCCUCCAUUCUUGGCAAGUCAUUGGUAUUCUAUUAUGGAAGUGCUAUGACAAUUGGAGUUCUCCUUGUAGUGUUAAUGAUCCUUUUUCAGGGAAUGAAGCUUCUUCCUACCGGUCGGAAGAGCUCACUUGCAAUUUUUCUAUAUGCAUCUGCAGUUGGUCUGGGAUCUUUUUUCCUCCGUUACAUACCUGGAUUAUUGCAUCAAAUACUUUUGGAAAUGGGUAUAAGUGAGGACAUGUAUAAUCCUGUAGCUACAUUUCUACUGGCUUUUAUUUUUCUGAUUGGAGCAUGGUUGGGCUUUUGGGUAGUCCACAAAUUUGUCCUUGAUGAAGAUGGAUCAAUUGAUACUAGCACAUCGCUUUUCGUCACAUGGUGCAUACGGAUUCUGGCUGCUCUUCUGAUUCUUCAGUGUUCUUUGGAUCCAUUGCUGGCAACAGGAGUUUUAAUAUGUGGAAUAAUGGCUUCAUCAAUACUGAGGAGAACUUUUAAGUUCAGAUUUCUUCGUCGGCAGUACAAGAAUUUGUUCAAAUCGCCAAAGAGAAAACUCAAGAGAUCUCAUAUCUUUGAUAAGCCACGUUUUGAUGAUUCUGAUGAUGAACUCGCCAUGAAGUCUCCCCUGAGUUAUGAAGACCCCGGGUUCUAUCGAUCUCAAGACAGAAACUUUGCCCUUCAGUCCUGCAGUCUUUCUGAACGUGAUGAAUAUCCUUCGACAUUCCAUUCCACACCUGGACGGAGAGAAUUUUCUAAGGAUGAGUGGAAAAGGUUCACAAAGGACUCAACCGAAAAAGCUUUGGAAGGACUAGUUUCUUCGCCAGAUUUCGGCAGGUGGCUCGUUGACAAUGCAGAUAGAAUCAACAUAACUCCCCAAAGCAGUAGAAGAGCUGAGAAAGGUCGAAAGUGGCUCCCUUGGUUGUGAUUGGUCAAGGUCAAACGCAAUGGUAGAUUAGAUGUAGAGCUCAAGGGGAAGGAGCUUAGCUGCAAAUUGCUCAAGAUGGUCAUAUACUAACUUGAUUAGGUUAUUUACAAAUCAGAUCGGAUUGAACAUGGACUCCACGAGUUGGGCAUAUGCCCAUCCGAGAGAGGGAGUGAAAUUGGGCUUUGACCCAAUUUAUUUACUCUCUGUUAGGUGGUUUUAUCCUUCUGUGUUGACCUGAAUUCGUCUUGCCUCGAGCCUUUUCUUGUAAAUUUAGCUAUGGUAAAAUUGAAGAUAAGGAAAAUGAACGGACAGAGAAGAUCAUGGGUUAGGGGCAUGUGAGAUGUAUGCUUCUCAAGCUAAAAUAUUAGCGAAGGGAGUGGGAAUUCGACUUUUGGUCCAAUUCCUCUAUUCUCUUAGACAUAUCAAAGGAUGGGUUGCUUCUCGGCCUGAAA